rnacentral:sRNA from 1 species
AAAAUUCUGGUAAUGCACAGAAUGAGUUACCCUCCACUUAGAUGCUACUUUUUAUCUACACGAGUGCAACGCUGAAAUUCUGCUGAUGCCUAACAAGCGGGUUUCUUGGAAAUCUGCGUGAACUCUGGGUGUGGUGUCUUUGUUCUCUGACAGCUGGGGUGCCUGCGCCCUGGCCUUAUGGAAGGCCAUUGUCUUGUCCGUGUCCUCUGCAGGUCUGUGGGUUCUGGCACCACCUGAGCCCACUGGGCAUCUGGUCAUCCCUGGCACCUCUCCUUUGGAGCCACCUUGUCCCCGGCUAGACAGUCACAUUUUCCAGUGCCGUUUUGCAAAGAUGUUGCCUUUGGAGAAGGCGUUUUCCUCCCCCAGGAGCUCCCCAGCACCCCCGGAUCUGCCCACGCCAGGUUCAGCAGCCGGAGUCCAGCAGGAAGAACCCGAGACCAUCCCUGAGAGGACCCCUGCUGACCUGGAGUUCUCCCGCCUGCGUUUCCGGGAAUUUGUCUACCAGGAGGCUGCCGGGCCCCACCAGACCCUGGCCCGGCUGCAUGAGCUGUGCCGCCAGUGGCUGAUGCCUGAGGCGCGCUCCAAGGAGCAGAUGCUGGAGCUGCUGGUGCUGGAGCAGUUCCUGGGCAUCCUGCCUGAUAAGGUCCGGCCCUGGGUGGUGGCACAGUACCCUGAGAGCUGCAAGAAGGCAGCCUCCCUGGUGGAGGGCCUCGCUGAUGUCCUGGAAGAGCCAGGGAUGCUGCUGGGCUCCCCUGCGGGCUCAUCCUCAAUUCUUAGUGAUGGAGUGUACGAGAGGCACAUGGACCCUCUGCUGCUACCAGGCGAGCUCGCGAGCCCCAGCCAGGCCCCUGGAGCUGGGGAGAUCCCGGCACCUUCUGAGACACGUGAGUGCCCAGCCAGCCUGGCAGUCUCUGCUGGGCCUUAGGUGGGGUGGUGGGCAGAGGCCUGUGGUUGGGAGAGGGCAGGAGGGCAGCCAGGGAGUCAGGAGCCCCAUGGUCCAUACUAUCAUUGGGACUUCCUCUUGUAGUUCCUCUGAAUGUUAGACAUUGUUUAUUAAAUUGGUCUUCAGAGAUUAUGCAGAUCAUCCAUACUUACCACAAAUAGUGAAAACACAUCAAUACAUAAAGAAAAGAAUCUCCCAACCCCUCAUCAUGCACCCUCUGAAAAUAAAGGGUCUCGAGUGUCCUGAUGCAUGUCCCCUCAUGUCUCCCUGCACAUCACACAUGCACAAUCAGGGCCUGGGGUCGGGCUCUGUGUGUGUGUUGUGCUGUGUCUGAGUGCUUGCUGUUCGAGGGGUGGAUCCCCCAGGCUGUGGUUGGGUCUGGUUCUUUAGUUGCCCAGCAUCGCAUGCUCAGCCCAUCCCCAUCCUAGAGGUGGGCUCUCUGCCCCUUGGAGUGAAGAUGCCACGACACCUCCUGACUUGUGUGCCCAUAUGUGAGGCUCUGGGCACUGUGGGUGGGCUCCUCAGGACUGCUGGGUAAAUGGCGUGUGAGUUCGACAUUUCACAUAAAAUAGAAACUUCCAUGUGGUUUUCCAGAAGUUUUGUGGCUGUUCAUCACCAGCGUGGAAGGUGCCCACUGGCCCGGAUACAGCCCAGCACUAUGUGGUGUUGCUUUUUAGGAUUUCCACGAAGGCCAGGCACAGUGCCUCAUGCCUGUAAUUGCAGCACUUUGGGAAGCCAAGGCGGGCAGAUCACUUGAGCCCAGGCAUUUGAGACCAGCCUGGGCAACAUAGGGAGACCCCAUCUCUACAAAAAAUACAAAAAUUAGCCGGGUGCGCACUUUUAGUCCCAGCUACUUGGGAGGCUAAGGUGGGAGGAUUGCUUGAGUCCAGGGGGUGGAGGUUGCAGUGAGCCAAGAUCGUGCCACUGCACUCCAGCCUGGGUGACAGAGCAAGACCCUGUCUUUAAAAAACAAACCAAAAAAAAAAAGAUUUCCAUGAAUCCAGUGGACUUGAAUGGGCAUCUCUGGGGCCACCCAAGCCCUGGGGCCACCGCGCUGCUUUGUAAAUCAGGGACAGGUGUAGUGUCCAUUGAGCCUUGGGUGCUGCUGUCACAGAAGCACACUGGAGUCUGUGUGGGAGGCAGCGGGGGCUCCUUGACCCUUGGGGGCACCUGGACACAGGGAGCUCGUUGCCUCAACUAUGCCUCCCCUUCUCCCCAGCCUGGCUUUCUCCGGACCCCCUGUUUCUGGAACAGAGGAGGGUCAGAGAAGCAAAGACCGACGAGGCCAGCCCUGCCAACACUGAGCAGGUGGGUGGGCACGAGUCCCAGGGUGAGGGGCCUUGGCCUCAGCUUAGAGGCAUCCCCCUCCCCAUCACCAGUGCUCAGCAGAGGACUGUGGCCCCAAAUGUCCACAGCGCUGAGGCCCAGAACCCACCCGGGUGGGAACGUGAGGGUGGAUUCUUUGUGGUGUGAAGGGGGCUGCCUCCUGCAGUGCAUCUGGGUUAGAGUCCCUGGCCAGGGCUGGCUCCUAGCCUGCUCCUGUGGCUGUGGGGCUGCGGCGGGUCCUCCCUUCUCUAGGGCAGGUGGAAGGUCUCAGCCACGGCUGCACUAUUUCAGAAGCUGAAGUCCUUUCCAGAGGACCCUCAGCACCUGGGGGAGUGGGGCCACCUGGACCCUGCCGAGGAGAACCUGAAGAGCUACCGGAAGCUGCUCCUGUGGGGUGAGACUUGCCUGCCUCGGGCUCACGCCCCACUCCCCAUCCCCUUCUGCAGGGGUUGGUGCAGGAGACUGUGACCCCAGGGACUUUGGCUGGGACACUGUGAUGUCUUACAUGGAUUUGAACUUGCACGUGUUGGAGCUUGAAUUUAUUCGCUGAAGCCCCCACCCUUUCUGAUCUAAACAUCUGAGUUCUGCCCAGGCCCUGCCUGUAGGACUGAAGCCUUGGAAUUUGGAAAGGCCUCCUGGCCCCAAGGCGCCCACAUUGCCACCCUCCUUGCCAGAGACAGGGCCUCACCUGCAUGGCCUGAUCAAGGGUCUCCUCUUUUGUAGACGUUCUUGCCCCAGAAACCCUCCUUUUACGGAGGCCCCCCCACUCAGACUCCUGAGCAAUUUUUGUCUUAAUGUCUUUCUUUAGCUUUGCUUUCCCUGAGUCCUGCCUCUGCCUGCCCCGUCGCCCUUCCACCCUCACCUUCUUUGCUCCACUGUCCAGGGGCCUAACAGGAAGGUGGCCUUGGUGGGGGUCCCAGUACAGAGAAGAGGAGGUGGGCUGCAGCCUGCCCUGGCUGGCCCACGACACACAACACCCAUCAGCUACUCUGUGUUGAUGCCUCUUUUAUUUCUUUGGUUUUUAACCCCACUCAGGGUAUCAGCUUUCCCAGCCUGACGCUGCCUCCAGGCUGGACACUGAGGAACUCCGCUUGGUGGAAAGAGAUCCACAAGGAAGCGGCCUCCCAGGUGAGGUUGGGUUGAAUUGGUGUUAGGGCCAGGUGGGGUUUGCUUUUUCUUCAGAGGCUGAGGGGGCCCCUCCCAGCGCCAUCAGCCCCAGCAAAGACCUCAGCAUCGACUGCUUCACCAUUCUCCCACCACCGUGUCUGAGUGAGGCAGGAAUCCAGUUACGUCCAUAGUCUCUUGCUGCAUGACAGACCACCCCAAGACUUGGUCAGUGGAAAUGGCAGUGGUGUUAGUUGCCAGGAUCUGUGUAUGACUGGUCCCGGGGGUGGCCGUUCUGCCCCAUUGGAGGCUCUGUGCCAUCACACCAACAAGAACACCUAGAGGCAGACUUGGGCUGGAGGGCCCUGGGUGCCUGUAGCCAGGGGGCUUGUCGCUGGGGGGUUUGGCCUUAGCUAUUGACCCCACUCUCUUCGCUGGCAGCCGGGCCCCUCCCUCCAGGAGGGUGCGCUCUGAGCAGGCUCUCCUUGCAUCGUGCGUCUCGUGGCCAAGCUAGUGGCCGGGUGACCUCCAAAGGCGCGGUUUCCAGAGCCCGGGCUCAGUGGGGCUGUCCUUCCUGUCCUGUCGGUGGCCUCCGUUGUUGGAGGCCUCCAGGUCCCACAUCUGCAGCAGCAGGCGUGGGGCGUGCGCUGCAGGGCUGCCUGGGAGGGACAGCGCUGCUUCCAAACAGCCGUGAGCCCCGCGGGGAUCCAGAGUCCGGAGCCCUGUGCGCUGUUCCUGCAGCUGAGGCUCAGCUGGGUCCUCCUCUCCCUGGCCCUGGGCGGGGCGCUCAUGCUAGGACUCUGACCUUGUUCCAGAAGGCGGGAGGCAGCAGGAGAGCGCUGGGUGCGCCUGCGAGGAGGCCGCCCCCGCGGGGGUGCUGCCUGAGCUGCCUACGGAGGCGCCCCCUGGGGACGCCCUUGCCGAUCCCCCGUCGGGCACCACUGAGGAGGAGGAAGAGCAGCCUGGGAAGGUCCCGGACCCGCAGGACCCCCAAGACGCGGAGUCCGACUCUGCCACCGGAUCGCAGAGGCAGUCCGUCAUCCAGCAGCCUGCCCCGGACAGGAGCCCGGCGAGGCUGGGAACCAAGAGGCCGCACCCCGAGGAUGGGGACGGGCAGAGCCUCGAGGGCGUCUCCAGCGCCGGCGACAGCGCAGGGCUGGAGGCCGGGCAGGGCCCCGGGGCUGACGAGCCGGGCUUGUCCCGCGGGAAGCCCUAUGCCUGCGGCGAGUGCGGGGAGGCCUUCGCGUGGCUCUCGCAUCUCAUGGAGCACCACAGCAGCCAUGGCGGCCGGAAGCGCUACGCCUGUCAGGGCUGCUGGAAGACCUUCCACUUCAGCCUGGCCCUAGCCGAGCACCAGAAGACCCACGAGAAGGAGAAAGGCUACGCGCUGGGGGGUGCCCGGGGCCCCCAGCCGUCCACCCGCGAAGCCCAGGCGGGGGCUAGGGCGGGCGGGCCCCCAGAGAGCGUGGAGGGCGAGGCUCUCCCCGCACCCCCAGAGGCGCAGAGGUGAGCGGCUGUGCUGUCCCGUCCCGGAGGGGCCUUCCUGCAGGCCAUGAAUCCCAGACGAGGCAUUGGGCCUUUCCACGCCCCUGGGUGGCGGCUUCCUGUGGUGUUUGUGGACGUCCUCUGCCUGUGCCCUGAAUCCGCUCCUGAGGCUAAGCGCUCCCAACGAGAAGGGUCCACGGGAAGCCCUCACCUCUGUAAACACACCCUGGGCCAGCGGUCGCAUCCGAGGGGAGCCGCUGAAUGUGGAAGAAGACUCUGCUUUCUUGCAGCCAUUUAGUGCCGCCCCAUGCUAGGUUAUUUGACAUUGUGCAGUGUAGAGUUGCCUUAAAGUGCGUGAUCUGCCAGUGCUUUCUUCAAGUCACCCUUGCCCCGAUUCCUCCUGUUUGCGCUCCCCAGGGUUGCUCAAGUGGAAAUUUUGUCAGCUGUUUAGCCUUUUCGUACUUGCGUGAUGUCAACUUCACUUCUAAUCUGCAAAAGCAGAAGCUGUUUCCUAGUUUACCUCACGUGUCUUUACCUGUAUGGAGUAGCUCGCAGAGAUCACAGAAAUGCUUGCAGCCUAAAGCAGGGUUUUCAGACCGUGGGUCCCAGCCCAUUAGUAAAAUGGGAAAUCAAUUAGCAAGUGGCCAGCAGCAUUACACAGCAAUGAAGCAGAAUAAAGUAGGCCAGAAUGCAUCAUGUAGUAAAGGCAAAUACUGUUUUGUGAAACUUUUCACCCAUACAUCUAAAUGUGAGAACUGGUUGCAAUGUAAGACGUAUUUCUUGCUGGGAAGUUGUGAUCAAAAUAAGUUGAAAACACUAAUAAAGAUCUGUCUGUCUGAGCAAAGGAGACUAAACUCCUUGGGCUAC